CGGGUCGAGCGUCAUUCCCGCCAGCCAGGGGCCUUCGCGUCCGGUUUUGGGAUCGCGGAGGUGAUAGGCACGAAUAAACCGUUUGGGCAGCGGAUUAGCGUCGCGGCGAUAAUUGAAUUUUUCGUCGGGCGCAAAGUCUUUGACGAACUCACUCGAUGGGAUCCUGCCCACGUAGCUGAGGUACACCUCGCUGAAAGUGUCGCCCUGUUUGUGCUUGAUGUGACCCG
rnacentral:misc_RNA from 1 species